GCUGAGAUUCCGGGCCCGGCGGCCGCGGGGAGCGGGUGUCCGUGAGGAGCCGGGCAGCCGGCCUCCUCUCUUUGCCUUUUGGGGGUUCUUUUUGUAAUAGCAGCAGGCUAGAAAAGCGAGCCGGCUUGGAGGGAGUCCGCCCGGGGAUCCGAGCGCGCAUUCAUCAGUGUCGAGAGAAAAAAAGCUACAUAAAUAUAUAUUAUGUGGAUAAAUCUAUAGACAAGAGCUCUCUCGCGCGCGCUCUCUCCCUGUCUCUCUGUGUGUGUCUUUCUCUGUUUUUUUUUCCUCCUCGCACCCCCAACCUGCCAGAGCAGCCCCACAUCUUCCUCCCGCCCGGCAUCUACCGCCACCCAAGCCACCUGCCAGGAUGGGGCUGGGAGCUGUCGGGCCGCGCCGGGGGGCAGAGGGACGGGGAGUAGAGACUCGGGGUCCGACCCCCGCCCCAACCCGCUUCCGAAGGCGGAAGGUGGGGGUCCCCGUCCCGGGCGGCCUCCCCCGCCCCGGAGAGCGCGGCUGGUCCCCCGGUGGCUGGCGGGAGGAAGGUAGGAGUCGGGCGCCCCUGCCCGCUCGCCCGCCGGAGGGGGAGGAAGGCGCUGGGCGCGGUGGCCGGUGAGCCAGCGCGGGGGAUGGCUUGAUUUGCCCUCGUCUGCUUUACGGGUUCAAAUAGAAUAUAUUUUUUUAAUCACCAUCAAAAGAAUAAAGCCCCUGAAUCGCUAUCUGGGUUGCCGCCGGACCGAGACUCGCGCGGCGUGCGCUGCCCCCGCGGGUUUCGUUUUCGGCACCUACAGCUCCCGAGGUGCGAGGCUGAGU
rnacentral:lncRNA from 10 species